rnacentral:rRNA from 1 species
UCUGGUUCAGGACGAACGCUGGCGGCACGCUUAACACAUGCAAGUCGAACGGAGUUAUCGAGAGCUUGCUUUGAUAACUUAGUGGCGGACGGGUGAGUAACACGUGAGCAAUCUGCCCUUAAGAGGGGGAUAGCAGUUGGAAACGACUGAUAAUACCGCAUAAGAUAGUAGUACCGCAUGGUACAGCUAUAAAAGAUUUAUCGCUUAAGGAUGAGCUCGCGUCUGAUUAGCUAGUUGGUGAGGUAACGGCUCACCAAGGCAACGAUCAGUAGCCGGACUGAGAGGUUGGACGGCCACAUUGGGACUGAGACACGGCCCAGACUCCUACGGGAGGCAGCAGUGGGGAAUAUUGCACAAUGGAGGGAACUCUGAUGCAGCGAUGCCGCGUGAGGGAAGAAGGUUUUAGGAUUGUAAACCUCUGUUGACAGGGACGGUAAUGACGGUACCUGUUGAGGAAGCUCCGGCUAACUACGUGCCAGCAGCAGC